rnacentral:rRNA from 1 species
AAGCCUGGGAAACUGGGUCUAAUACCGGAUAUGACUGAUCAUCGCAUGGUGGUUGGUGGAAAGCUUUUUGUGGUUUUGGAUGGACUCGCGGCCUAUCAGCUUGUUGGUGAGGUAAUGGCUUACCAAGGCGACGACGGGUAGCCGGCCUGAGAGGGUGACCGGCCACACUGGGACUGAGACACGGCCCAGACUCCUACGGGAGGCAGCAGUGGGGAAUAUUGCACAAUGGGCGCAAGCCUGAUGCAGCGACGCCGCGUGAGGGAUGACGGCCUUCGGGUUGUAAACCUCUUUCAGUAGGGAAGAAGCGAAAGUGACGGUACCUGCAGAAGAAGCGCCGGCUAACUACGUGCCAGCAGCCGCGGUAAUACGUAGGGCGCAAGCGUUAUCCGGAAUUAUUGGGCGUAAAGAGCUCGUAGGCGGUUUGUCGCGUCUGCCGUGAAAGUCCGGGGCUCAACUCCGGAUCUGCGGUGGGUACGGGCAGACUAGAGUGAUGUAGGGGAGACUGGAAUUCCUGGUGUAGCGGUGAAAUGCGCAGAUAUCAGGAGGAACACCGAUGGCGAAGGCAGGUCUCUGGGCAUUAACUGACGCUGAGGAGCGAAAGCAUGGGGAGCGAACAGGAUUAGAUACCCUGGUAGUCCAUGCCGUAAACGUUGGGCACUAGGUGUGGGGGACAUUCCACGUUUUCCGCGCCGUAGCUAACGCAUUAAGUGCCCCGCCUGGGGAGUACGGCCGCAAGGCUAAAACUCAAAGGAAUUGACGGGGGCCCGCACAAGCGGCGGAGCAUGCGGAUUAAUUCGAUGCAACGCGAAGAACCUUACCAAGGCUUGACAUGAACCGAAAGACCUGGAAACAGGUGCCCCGCUUGCGGUCGGUUUACAGGUGGUGCAUGGUUGUCGUCAGCUCGUGUCGUGAGAUGUUGGGUUAAGUCCCGCAACGAGCGCAACCCUCGUUCUAUGUUGCCAGCACGUGAUGGUGGGGACUCAUAGGAGACUGCCGGGGUCAACUCGGAGGAAGGUGGGGACGACGUCAAAUCAUCAUGCCCCUUAUGUCUUGGGCUUCACGCAUGCUACAAUGGCCGGUACAAAGGGUUGCGAUACUGUGAGGUGGAGCUAAUCCCAAAAAGCCGGUCUCAGUUCGGAUUGGGGUCUGCAACUCGACCCCAUGAAGUCGGAGUCGCUAGUAAUCGCAGAUCAGCAACGCUGCGGUGAAUACGUUCCCGGGCCUUGUACACACCGCCCGUC